ensembl:lncRNA
GUUUUACUGACAACAUUAGUCAAGUAUAUGUGAAGUGAAAAAUCUCUACAUGUCAUGAACUGCCCCACAUUUCUCCUACCUCUCAGCAGAAUAUGUGAUAUCAGUAUGGAAAAAAGGCAGUGAUACAAGCUGCCCGGAGGAGCGUGCAACCUUUUGCCAUUCAUGGAAGCAUAAAGCUUUGAACAAUCAUGUCUGAACCUACAGCUGAUUGUGCUUUGAGCAUGUGCUUAGACUGGGAAUCUCCUGAGGUCCUUUCCAUCCUCAGUUAUUCUUUUAUUCUUGGGAAUAACACAUACAUGGCUGACAUAUAAAAUAGGCAUAAACAUAAUGAUGAACACACCUUUUAUGUAGAAUUAUUAAGAUAAAAGUCUUUUUUUUUUUUUUUCCUACUUGUUGUUAUGGUUGUUUUUUAAGGGUUUUUUUCUUUCUUAUUUAUUACUUUUAUUUAUU